GAGGGUAUAGCUCAAGUGGUAGAGCACAUGCCUAGCAUGCACAAGGUCCUGGGUUCCAUCCCAGUACCUCCU
rnacentral:tRNA from 1 species